rnacentral:rRNA from 1 species
AUAGCGAGUCGGUCCCACCCCUUCCCAUCCCGAACAGGACCGUGAAACGACUCAGCGCCGAUGAUAGUGCGGAUUCCCGUGUGAAAGUAGGUCAUUGUCAGGC